rnacentral:lncRNA from 1 species
CCGGGAGGUCACCCAUUGUAGUACUACUCUCGCCCAAGCACGCUUAACUGCGGAGUUUUGAUGGGAUCCAGUAUAUUAGUGCUCGUAUGAUCGCAUCCGUUAGUAUAUGCAAUGCAAUCGUAUAUAUUCUUUUUUGAAGACUUGAUGAACCAUUCGUCAUGGGUCCCACCCGCUAUGUAGGGAUACGCCAUCUAGUCUUAACGAGCUUUGAUGCAUGAAAAAAUUCUAGAACAAUGCUUUAACAAGUAAUUUUGGGUCUGUAAUAUAACCCAAAUCACAAAAAUGCCCAAAAAAGUACUUAAAGGUCAAAAUUUGGGGUUGACAAAAAGUCAAUAAAAUAGUUCCAUUGUCCUGCUUCUUUCGUUGGAAGGCUCUCUUUGGGCUUUCUGAAAGGUAGCACAUGCCAAGUUUGACCUCACGGUAUAAAAGUUAUAGAGUCAUAAAGUUUUAACCAAAAAAAAAAUAAAUUAAAAAAAAGAGGGAUGCAACACGAGGACUUCCCGGGAGGUCACCCAUCCUAGAACAACUCUCCCCCAAGCACGCUUAACUAAAGGUCAAAAUUUGGAGUCGACAAAAAACAAUGGAUAUGUUCCAUUGUCCUGCUUCUUUCAUUUGAGGGCUCUCUUUGGGCUUUACGAAAAGGUAUCAAAUGCCAAGUUUGGCCUCACUGUAUAAAAGUUAUAGAGUCAUACAGUUUUAAUCAAAGAAAAAAAUUUAAAAAAAAAAAAGAAUGAAACACGAGGACUUCCCGGGAGGUCACCCAUACUAGUACUACUCUCACCCAAGCACGCUUAACUGCGGUGUUCUGAUGGGAUCCGGUGUAUUAGUGCUUUUAUGAUCGCAUCCGUUAGUAUAUGCAAUGCAAUCGUAUAUAUUCUUUUUUAAAGACUUGAUGAACCAUUCGCCAUGGGUUCCACCCGCUAUGUAGGGAUACCCCAUCUAUUUUUAACGAGCUUUGAUGCAUGAAAAAAUUCUAAAACAAUGCUUGAACAAGUAAUUUUGGGUCCGUAAUAUAGCCCAAAUCACAAAAAUGCUCGAAAGAGUACUUAAAGGUCAAAAUUUGGGAUCGACAAAAAGUCAAUGGAAAAGUUCCUUUGUCCUGCUUCUUUCGUCGGAGGGCUCUCUUUGGGCUUUACGAAAAGGUAUCACAUGCCAAGUUUGGCCUCACGGUAUAAAAGUUAUAGAAUCAUAAAGUUUUAACCAAAAAAAACAAAUUAAAAAAAAAAGGGAUGCAACACGAGGACUUCCCGGGAGGUCACCCGUCCUAGUACUACUCUCCCCCAAGCACGCUUAACUAAAGGUCAAAAUUUGGAGUUGACAAAAAAUCAAUGGAUAUGUUCCAUUGUCCUGCUUCUUUCAUCGGAUGGCUCUCUUUGGGCUUUUCGAAAAGGUAUCACAUGCCAAGUUUGGCCUCACUGUAUAAAAGUUAUAGAGUCAUAAAGUUUUAAUCAAAGAAAAAAAAAUUUAAAAAAAGAGGGAUGCAACACGAGGACUUCCCAGGAGGUCACCCAUCGUAGUACUACUCUCGCCCACGCACGCUUAACUGCGGAGUUCUGAUGGGAUACGGUGUAUUAGUGCUGGUAUGAUCGCAUCUGUUAGUAUAUGCAAUGCAAUUGUAUAUAUUGUUUUUUGAAGACUUGAUGAACCAUUCGCCGUGGGUCCCACCCGCUAUGUAGGGAUACCCCAUCUAGUCUUAACGAGCUUUGAUGCGUCAAAAAAAUCUAAAACAAUGCUUGAACAAGUAAUUUUGGGUCCGUACUAUAGCCCAAAUCACAAUAAUGCCCGAAAAAGUACUUAAAUGUCAAAAUUUGGGAUCGACAAAAAGUCAAUGGAAAGGUUCCAUUGUCCUGCUUCUUUCGUCGGAGGGCUCUCUUUGGGCUUUCCAAAAAGGUAUCACAUGCUAAGGUUGGCCUCACGGUAUAAAAGUUAUAGAGUCAUAAAGUUUUACCAAAAAAAAAACAAAUUAAAAAAAAGAGGGAUGCAACACGAGGACUUCCCGGGAGGUCACCCAUCCUGGAACAACUCUCGCUCAAGCACGCUUAACUAAAGGUCAAAAUUUGGAGUCGACAAAAAAUCAAUGGAUAUGUUCCAUUGUCCGACUUCUUUCAUCAGAGGACUCACUUUGGGCUUUACGAAAAGGUAUCACAUGCCAAGUUUGGCCUCACUGUAUAAAUGUUAUAGAGUCAUAAAGUUUUAAUCAAAAAAAACAAUUAAAAAAAAAGAGGGAUGAAACAUGAGGACUUCCCGCGAGGUCACCCAUCCUAGUACUACUCUCACCCAAGCACGCUUAACUGCGGUGUUCUGAUGGGAUUCGGUGUAUUAGUGCUUGUAUGAUCGUAUCCGUUAGUAUAUGCAAUGCAAUCGUAUAUAUUCUUUUUUGAAGACUUGAUGAACCAUUCGCCAUGGGUUCCACCCGCUAUGUAGGGAUACCCCAUCUAUUCUUAACGAGCUUUGAUGCAUGAAAAAAUUCUAAAACAAUGCUUGAACAAGUAAUUUUGGGUCCGUAAUAUAGCCCAAAUCACAAAAAUGCUCGAAAGAGUACUUAAAGGUCAAAAUUUGGGGUCGACAAAAAGUCAAUGGAAAAGUUUCUUUAUCCUGCUUCUUUCGUCGGAGGGUUCUCUUUGGGCUUUACGAAAAAGUAUCACAUGCCAAGUUUGGCCUCACGGUAUAAAAGUUAUAGAGUCAUAAAGUUUUAACCAAAAAAAACAAAUUAAAAAAAAAGAGGGAUGCAACACGAGGACUUCCCGGGAGGUAACCCAUCCUAGUACUACUCUCUCCCAAGCACGCGUAACUAAAGGUCAAAAUUUAGAGUUGACAAAAUAUCAAUGGAUAUGUUCCAUUGUCCUGCUUCUUUCAUCGGAUGGCUCUCUUUGGGCUUUUCGAAAAGGUAUCAUAUGCCAAGUUUGGCCUCACUGUAUAAAAGUUAUAGAGUCAUAAAGUUUUAACCAAAGAAAAAAAUUAAAAAAAAAGAGGGAUGCAACACGAGGACUUUCCAGGAGGUCACCCAUCGUAGUACUACUCUCGCCCAAGCACGCUUAACUGCGGAGUUCUGAUGGGAUCCGGUGUAUUAGUGCUGGUAUGAUCGCAUCCGUUAGUAUAUGCAAUGCAAUCGUAUAUAUUCUUUUUUGAAGACUUGAUGAACCAUUCGCCGUGGGUCCCACACGCUAUGUAGGGAUACCCCAUCUAGUCUUAACGAGCUUUGAUGCGUGAAAAAAUUCUAAAACAAUGCUUGAACAAGUAAUUUUGGGUCCGUAAUAUAGCCCAAAUCACAAAAAUGCCCAAAAAAGUACUUAAAGGUCAAAAUUUGGGGUCGACAAAAAGUCAAUGGAAUUGUUCCAUUGUCCUGCUUCUUUCGUUAGAGGGCUCUAUUUGGGCUUUCCAAAAAGGUAUCACAUGCUAAGGUUUGCCUCACGGUAUGAAAGUUAUAGUCAUAAAGUUUUAACCAAAAAAAAACAAAUUAAAAAAAAGAGGGAUGCAACACGAGGACUUCCCGGGAGGUCACCCAUCCUAGAACAACUCUCCCCCAAACACGCUUAACUAAAGGUCAAAAUUUGGAGUCGACAAAAAAUCAAUGGAUAUGUUCCAUUGUCCUGCUUCUUUCAUUUGAGGGCUCUCUUUGGGCUUUACGAAAAGGUAUCAAAUGCCAAGUUUGGCCUCACUGUAUAAAAGUUAUAGAGUCAUAAAUUUUAAUCAAAGAAAAAAAUUAAAAAAAAAAAGAGGGAUGAAACACGAGGACUUCCCGGGAGGUCAACCAUCCUAGUACUACUCUCACCCAAGCACGCUUAACUGCGGUGUUCUGAUGGGAUCCGGUGUAUUAGUGCUUGUAUGAUCGCAUCCGUUAGUAUAUGCAAUGCAAUCGUAUAUAUUCUUUUUUGAAGACUUGAUGAACCAUUCGCCAUGGGUUCCAUCCGCUAUGUAGGGAUACCCCAUCUAUUCUUAACGAGAUUUGAUGCAUGAAAAAAUUCUAAAACAAUGCUUAAACAAGUAAUUUUAGGUCCGUAAUAUUGCCCAAAUCACAAAAAUGCUCGAAAGAGUACUUAAAGGUCAAAAUUUGGGGUCGACAAAAAGUCAAUGGAAAAGUUCCUUUGUCCUGCUUCUUUCGUCGGAGGGCUCUCUUUGGGCUUUACGAAAAGGUAUCACAUGCCAAGUUUUGCCUCACAGUAUAAAAGUUAUUGAGUCAUAAAGUUUUAACCAAAAAAAACAAAUUAAAAAAAAGAGGGAUGCAACACGAGGACUUCCCGGGAGGUCAUCAUCCCAGUACUACUCUCCCCCAAGCACGCUUAACUAAAGGUCAAAAUUUGGAGUUGACAAAAAAUCAAUGGAUAUGUUCCAUUGUCCUGCUUCUUUCAUCGGAGGGCUCUCUUUGGGCUUUUCGAAAAGGUAUCACAUGUCAAGUUUGGCCUCACUAUAUAAAAGUUCUAGAGUCAUAAAGUUUUAACCAAAGAAAAAAAUUAAAAAAAAAGAGGGAUGCAACACGAGGACUUCCCAGGAGGUCACCCAUCGUAGUUCUACUCUCGUCCAAGCACGCUUAACUGCGGAGUUCUGAUGGGAUCCGGUGUAUUAGUGCUUGUAUGAUCGCAUCCGUUAGUAUAUGCAAUGCAAUCGUAUAUAUUCUUUUUUGAAGACUUGAUGAACCAUUCGCCAUGGGUUCCACCCGCUAUGUAGGGAUACCACAUCUAUUCUUAACGAGCUUUGAUGCAUGAAAAAAAUCUAAAACAAUGCUUGAACGUGUAAUUUUGGGUCCGUAAUAUAGCCCAAAUCACAAAAAUGCUCGAAAGAGUACUUAAAGGUCAAAACUUAGGGUCGACAAAAAGUCAAUGGAAAAGUUCCUUUGUCCUGCUUCUUUCGUCGGAGGGCUCUAUUUGGGCUUUCCAAAAAGGUAUCACAUGCUAAGGUUGGCCUCACGGUAUAAAAGUUAUAGAGUCAUAAAGUUUUAACCAAAAAAAGACAAAUUAAAAAAAAGAGGGAUGCAACACGAGAAUUUCCCGGGAGGUCACCCAUCCUAGAACAACUCUCGCCCAAGCGCGGUUAACUAAAGGUCAAAAUUUGGAGUCGACAAAAAAUCAAUGGAUAUGUUCCAUUGUCCUGCUUCUUUCAUUUGAGGGCUCUCUUUGGGCUUUACGAAAAGGUAUCACAUGUCAAGUUUGGCCUCACUAUAUAAAAGUUAUAGAGUCAUAAAGUUUUAAUCAAAGAAAAAAAUAAAAAAAAAAUAGAGGGAUGAAACACGAGGACUUCCUGUGAGGUCACCCAUCCUAGAACUACUCUCACCCAAGCACGCUUAACUGCGAUGUCCUGAUGGGAUCCGGUGUAUUAGUGCUUGUAUGAUCGCAUCCGUUAGUAUAUGCAAUGCAAUCGUAUACCUUUUUUUUUGAAGACUUGAUAAACCAUUCGCCAUGGGUUCCACCCGCUAUGUAGGGAUACCCCAUCUAUUCUUAACGAGCUUUGAUGCAUGAAAAAAUUCUAAAACAAUGCUUGAACAAGUAAUUUUGGGUCCGUAAUAUAGCCCAAAUCACAAAAAUGCCCGAAAAAGUGCUUAAAGGUCAAAAUUUGGGGUCGACAAAAAGUCAAUGGAAAUGUUCCAUUGUUCUGCUUCUUUCGUCGGAGGGCUAUCUUUGGGCUUUCCAAAAAGGUAUCACAUCCCAAGUUUGGCCUCACGGUUUAAAAGUUAUAGAGUCAUAAAGUUUUAACAAAAAAAAACAAAUUAAAAAAAAAGAGGGAUGCAACACGAGGACUUCCCGGGAGGUCACCCAUCCUAGAACAACUCUCGCCCAAGCGCGGUUAACUAAAGGUCAAAAUUUGGAGUCGACAAAAAAUCAAUGGAUAUGUUCCAUUGUCCUGCUUCUUUCAUUUGAGGGCUCUCUUUGGGCUUUACGAAAAGGUAUCACAUGUCAAGUUUGGCCUCACUGUAUAAAAGUUAUAGAGACAUAAAGUUUUAAUCAAAGAAAAAAAUAAAAAAAAAAUAGAGGGAUGAAACACGAGGACUUCCUGUGAGGUCACCCAUCCUAGAACUACUCUCACCCAAGCACGCUUAACUGCGAUGUCCUGAUGGGAUCCGGUGUAUUAGUGCUUGUAUGAUCGCAUCCGUUAGUAUAUGCAAUGCAAUCGUAUACCUUUUUUUUUGAAGACUUGAUAAACCAUUCGCCAUGGGUUCCACCCGCUAUGUAGGGAUACCCCAUCUAUUGUUAACGAGCUUUGAUGCAUGAAAAAAUUCUAAAACAAUGCUUGAACAAGUAAUUUUGGGUCCGUAAUAUAGCCCAAAUCACAAAAAUGCCCGAAAAAGUGCUUAAAGGUCAAAAUUUGGGGUCGACAAAAAGUCAAUGGAAAUGUUCCAUUGUUCUGCUUCUUUCGUCGGAGGGCUAUCUUUGGGCUUUCCAAAAAGGUAUCACAUCCCAAGUUUGGCCUCACGGUUUAAAAGUUAUAGAGUCAUAAAGUUUUAACAAAAAAAAACAAAUUAAAAAAAAAGAGGGAUGCAACACGAGGACUUCCCGGGAGGUCACCCAUCCUAGAACAACUCUCGCCCAAGCGCGGUUAACUAAAGGUCAAAAUUUGGAGUCGACAAAAAAUCAAUGGAUAUGUUCCAUUGUCCUGCUUCUUUCAUUUGAGGGCUCUCUUUGGGCUUUACGAAAAGGUAUCACAUGUCAAGUUUGGCCUCACUGUAUAAAAGUUAUAGAGACAUAAAGUUUUAAUCAAAGAAAAAAAUAAAAAAAAAAUAGAGGGAUGAAACACGAGGACUUCCUGUGAGGUCACCCAUCCUAGAACUACUCUCACCCAAGCACGCUUAACUGCGAUGUCCUGAUGGGAUCCGGUGUAUUAGUGCUUGUAUGAUCGCAUCCGUUAGUAUAUGCAAUGCAAUCGUAUACCUUUUUUUUUGAAGACUUGAUAAACCAUUCGCCAUGGGUUCCACCCGCUAUGUAGGGAUACCCCAUCUAUUGUUAACGAGCUUUGAUGCAUGAAAAAAUUCUAAAACAAUGCUUGAACAAGUAAUUUUGGGUCCGUAAUAUAGCCCAAAUCACAAAAAUGCCCGAAAAAGUGCUUAAAGGUCAAAAUUUGGGGUCGACAAAAAGUCAAUGGAAAUGUUCCAUUGUCCUGCUUCUUUCGUCGGAGGGCUAUCUUUGGGCUUUCCAAAAAGGUAUCACAUCCCAAGUUUGGCCUCACGGUUUAAAAGUUAUAGAGUUAUAAAGUUUUAACCAAAAAAAAACAAAUUAAAAAAAAAGGAUGCAACACGAGGACUUCCCGGGAGGUCACCCAUCCUAGAACAACUCUCGCCCAAGCACGCUUAACUAAAGGUCAAAAUUUGGAGUCGACAAAAAAUCAAUGGAUAAGUUCCAUUGUCCUGCUUCUUUCAUCGGAGGGCUCUCUUUGGGCUUUCCGAAAAGGUAUCACAUGCCAAGUUUGGCCUCACUCUAUAAGAGUUAUAGAGUCAUAAACUUUUAACCAAAGAAAAAAAAGGGAUGAAACACGAGGACUUCCCGGGAAGUCACCCAUCCUAGUAUUACUCUCACCCAAGCACGGUUAAUUGCGGAGUUCUGAUGGGAUCCGGUGUAUUAGUGCUGGUAUGAUCGCAUCCGUUAGUAUAUGCAAUGCAAUCGUAUAUAUUCUUUUUUGAAAACUUGAUGAACCGUUCACCAUAGGUUCCACCCGCUGUGUAGGGAUACCUCAUCUAGUCUUAACGAGCUUUGAUGCAUGGAAAAAUUCUAAAACAAUGCUUGAACAAGUAAUUUUGGGUCCGUAAUAUAGCCCAAAUCACAAAAAUACCCGAAGAAGUACUUAAAGGUCAAAAUUUGGGGUCGACAAAAAGUCAAUGGAAAAGUUCCUUUGUCCUGCUUCUUUCGUCGGAGGGCUCUCUUUGGGCUUUCCGAAAAGGUAUCACAUGCCAAGUUUGGCCUCACGGUAUAAAAGUUAUAGAGUCAUAAAGUUUUAACCAAAAAAAACAAAUUAAAAAAAAAGAGGGAUGCAACACGAGGACUUCCCGGGAGGUCUCCCAUCCUAAUACUACUCUCGCCCAAGCCCGCUUAACUGCGGAGUUCUGAUGGGAUCCGGUGUAUUAGUGCUGGUAUGAUCGCAUCCGUUAGUAUAUGCAAUGCAAUCUUAUAUAUUCUUUUUUGAAGACUUGAUGAACCAUUCUUCGUGGGUCCCACCCGCUGUGUAGGGAUACCCCAUCUAGUCUUAACGAGCUUUGCUGCAUUGAAAAAAUUCUAAAACAAUGCUUGAACAAGUAAUCUUGGGUCCGUAAUAUAUCCCAAAUCACAAAAAUACCCGAAAAAGUACUUAAAGGUCAAAAUUUGGGGUCGACAAAAAGUCAAUGGAAAAGUUCCUUUGUCCUGCUUCUUUCGUCGGAGGGCUCUCUUUGGGCUUUCCGAAAAGGUAUCACAUGUCAAGUUUGGCCUCACGGUAUAAAAGUUAUAGAGUCAUAAAGUUUUAACCAAAAAAAACAAAUUAAAAACAAAGAGGGAUACAACACGAGGACUUCUCGGGAGGUCACCCAUCCUAGUACUACUCUCGCCCAAGCACGCUUAACUAAAGGUCAAAAUUUGGAGUCGACAAAAAGUCAAUGGAUAUGUUCCAUUGUCCUGCUACUUUCAUCGUAGGGCUCUCUUUGAGCUUUUCGAAAAGGUAUCACAUGCCAAGUUUGGCCUGACGGUAUAAAAGUUAUAGAGUCAUAAAGUUUUAACCAAUAAAAAAAAUUAAAAAAAAAGAGUGAUGCAACACAAAGACUUCCCGGGAGGUCACCCAUCCUAGUACUACUCUCGCCCAAGCCCGCUUAACUGCGGAGUUCUGAUGGGAUCCGGUGUAUUAGUGCUGCUAUGAUCUUAUCUGUUAGUAUAUGCAAUGCAAUCGUAUAUAUUCUUUUUGGAAGAAUUGAUGAACCAUUCGCCGUGGGUCCCACCCGCUGUGUAGGGAUACCCCAUCUAGUCUUAACGAGCUUUGAUGCAUGAUAAAAUUCUAAAACAAUGCUUGAACAAGUAAUUUUGGAUCCGUAAUAUAGCCCAAAUCACAAAAAUACCCGAAAAAGUACUUAAAGGUCAAAAUUUGGGGUCGACAAAAAGUCAAUGAAAAAGUUCCUUUGUCCUGCUUCUUUCGUCGGAGGGCUCUCUUUGGGCUAUUCGAAAAGGUAUCACAUGCCAAGUUUGGCCUCACGGUAUAAAAGUUAUAGAGUCCUAAAGUUUUAACCAAAAAAAACAAAUUAAAAAAAAAGAGGGAUGCAACACGAGGACUUCCCGGGAGGUCACCCAUCCUAGUACUACUCUCGCCCAAGCACGCUUAACUAAAUGUCAAAAUUUGGAGUCGACAAAAAAUCAAUUGAUAUGUUCCAUUGUCCUGCUACUUUCAUCGGAGGGCUCUCUUUGGGCUUUCCGAAAAUGUAUCACAUGCCAAGUUUGGCCUCACUGUAUAAAAGUUAUACAGUCAUAAAGUUUUAACCAAAGAAAAAUAUUUAAAAAAAACGGAUGCAACACGAGGACUUCCCUGAGGUCACCAAUCCUAGUACUACUCUCGCCCAAGCACGCUUAACUACGGAGUUUUGAUGGGAUCUGGUGUAUUAGUGCUGGUAUAAUCUCAUCCGUUAGUAUAGGCAAUGCAAUGGUGUAUAUUCUUUUUUGAAGACUUGAUGAACCAUUCGUCGUGGGUCCCACCCGCUGUGUAGGGAUACCCCAUCUAGUCUUAACGAGCUUUGAUCAUGAAAAAAAUUCUAAAACAAUGCUUGAACAAGUAAUUUUGGGUCCGUAAUAUAGCCCAAAUCCCAAAAUACCCGAAAAAGUACUUAAAGGUCAAAAUUUGGGAUCGACAAAAAGUCAAUGGAAAAGUUCGUUUGUCCUGCUUCUUUCGUCGGAGGGCUCUCUUUGGGCUUUCCGAAAAGGUAUCACAUGCCAAGUUUGGCCUCACGGUAUAAAAGUUAUAGAAUCAUAAAGUUUUAACCAAAAAAAACAAAUUAAAAAAAAAGAGGGAUGCAACACGAGGACUUCCCGGGAGGUCACCCAUCCUAGUACUACUCUCGCCCAAGCACGCUUAACUAAAGGUUAAAAUUUGGAGUCGACAAAAAAUCAAUGGAUAUGUUCCAUUGUCCUGCUUCUUUCAUCGGAGAGCUCUCUUUGGGCUUUCCGAAAAGGUAUCACAUGCCAAGUUUGGCCUCACUGUAUAAAAGUUAUAGAGUCAUAAAGUUUUAACCAAUGAAAAAAAUUAAAAAAAAAGAGGGAUGCAACACGAGGACUUCCCGGGAGGUCACCCAUCCUAGUACUACUCUCGCCCAAGCCCCCUUAACUGCGGAGUUCUGAUGGGAUCCGGUGUAUUAGUGUUGGUAUGAUCUUAUCUGUUAGUAUAUGCAAUGCAAUCGUAUAUAUUCUUUUUGGAAGAAUUGAUGAACCAUUCGCCGUGGGUCCCACCCGCUGUGUAGGGAUACCCCAACUAGUCUUAACGAGCUUUGAUGCAUGAAAAAAUUCUAAAACAAUGCUUGAACAAGUUAUUUUGGGUCCGUAAUCUAGCCCAAAUCACAAAAAUGCCCGAAAAAGUACUUAAAGGUCAAAAUUUGUGGUCGGCAAAAAGUCAAAGGAAAAGUUCGUUUGUCCUGUUUCUUUCGUCGGAGGGUUCUCUUUGGGAUUUCCGAAAAGGUAUCACAUGCCUAGUUUGGCCUCACGGUAUAAAAGUUAUAGAGUCAUAAAGUUUUAACCAAAAAAAACAAAUUAAAAAAAAAGAGGGAUGCAACACGAGGACUUCCCGGGAGGUCACCCAUCCUAGUACAAUAUUCGCCCAAGCACGCUUAACUGCGGAGUUCUGAUGGGAUCUCGUGUAUUAGUGCUGGUAUGAUCGCAUACGUUAGUAUAUGCAAUGCAAUCGUAUAUAUUCUUUUUUGAAGACUUGAUGAACCAUUCGUCGUGGGUCGCACCCGCUAUGUAGGAUACCCCAUCUAGUCUUAACGAGCUUUGAAGCAUGAAAAAAUUCUAAAACAAUGAUUGAACAAGUAAUUUUGUGUCCGUAAUAUAGCCCAAAUCACAAAUAUGCCCGAAAAAGUACUUAAAGGUCAAAAUUUGGGAUCGACAAAAAGUCAAUAAAAUUGUUCCAUUGUCCUGCUUCUUUCGUCGGAGGGCUCUCUUUACGCUUUCCGAAAAGAUAUCACAUGCCAAGUUUGGCCUCACGGUAUAAAAAUUAUAGAGUCAUAAAGUUUUAACCAAAAAAAACAAUUUAAAAAAAAAGAAGGAUGAAACACGAGGGCUUCCCGGGAGGUCACCCAUCCUAGUACUACUCUCGCCCAAGCACGCUUAACUAAAGGUCAAAAUUUAGAGUCGACAAAAAAUCAAUGGAUAUGUUCCAUUGUCCUGCUUCUUUCAUCAGAGGGCUCUCUUUGGGCUUUCCGAAAAGGUAUCACAUGCCAAGUUUGGCCUCACUGUUUAAAAGUUGUAGAGUCAUAAAGUUUUAACCAAUGAAAAAAAUUUUUAAAAAAAGAGGGAUGCAACACGAGGACUUCCCAGGAGGUCACCCAUCCUAAUACUACUCUCGCUCAAGCACACUUAACUGCGGAGUUCUGAUGGGAUCCGGUGUAUUAGUGCUGGUAUGAUCUCAUCUGUUAGUAUAUGCAAUGCAAUCGUAUAUAUUCUUUUUGAAAGAAUUGAUGAACCUUCGCCGUGGGUCCCACCCGCUGUAUAGGGACACCCCAUCUAGUCUUAACGAGCUUUGAUGCAUAAAAAAAUUCUAAAACAAUGCUUUAACAAGUAAUUUUGGGUCCGUAAUAUAGCCCAAAUCACAAAAAUGCGCGAAAAAGUAUUUAAAGGUCAAAAUUUGGGUUCGACAAAAAGUCAAUGGAAAAGUUCGUUUGUCGUGCUUCUUUCGUCGGAAGGCUCUCUUUGGGAUUUCCGAAAAGGUAGCACAUGCCUAGUUUGGCCUCACGGUAUAAAAGUUAUAGAGUUAUAAAGUUUUAACCAAAAAAAACAAAUUAAAAAAAAAGAGGGAUGCAACACGAGGACUUCCCGGGAGGUCUCCCAUCCUAAUACUACUCUCGCCCAAGCCCGCUUAACUGCGGAGUUCUGAUGGGAUCCGGUGUUUUAGUGCUGGUAUGAUCGCAUCCGUUAGUAUAUGCAAUGCAAUCUUAUAUAUUCUUUUUUGAAGACUUGAUGAACCAUUCUUCGUGGGUCCCACCCGCUGUGUAGGGAUACCCCAUCUAGUCUUAACGAGCUUUGCUGCAUUGAAAAAAUUCUAAAACAAUGCUUGAACAAGUAAUCUUUGGUCCGUAAUAUAUCCCAAAUCACAAAAAUACCCGAAAAAGUACUUAAAGGUCAAAAUUUGGGGUCGACAAAAAGUCAAUGGAAAAGUUCCUUUGUCCUGCUUCUUUCGUCGGAGGGCUCUCUUUGGGCUUUCCGAAAAGGUAUCACAUGUCAAGUUUGGCCUCACGGUAUAAAAGUUAUAGAGUCAUAAAGUUUUAACCAAAAAAAACAAAUUAAAAACAAAGAGGGAUACAACACGAGGACUUCUCGGGAGGUCACCCAUCCUAGUACUACUCUCGCCCAAGCACGCUUAACUAAAGGUCAAAAUUUGGAGUCGACAAAAAGUCAAUGGAUAUGUUCCAUUGUCCUGCUACUUUCAUCGUAGGGCUCUCUUUGAGCUUUUCGAAAAGGUAUCACAUGCCAAGUUUGGCCUGACGGUAUAAAAGUUAUAGAGUCAUAAAGUUUUAACCAAUAAAAAAAAUUAAAAAAAAAGUGUGAUGCAACACGAAGACUUCCCGGGAGGUCACCCAUCCUAGUACUACUCUCGCCCAAGCCCGCUUAACUGCGGAGUUCUGAUGGGAUCCGGUGUAUUAGUGCUGCUAUGAUCUUAUCUGUUAGUAUAUGCAAUGCAAUCGUAUAUAUUCUUUUUGGAAGAAUUGAUGAACCAUUCGCCGUGGGUCCCACCCGCUGUGUAGGGAUACCCCAUCUAGUCUUAACGAGCUUUGAUGCAUGAUAAAAUUCUAAAACAAUGCUUGAACAAGUAAUUUUGGAUCCGUAAUAUAGCCCAAAUCACAAAAAUACCCGAAAAAGUACUUAAAGGUCAAAAUUUGGGGUCGACAAAAAGUCAAUGAAAAAGUUCCUUUGUCCUGCUUCUUUCGUCGGAGGGCUCUCUUUGGGCUAUUCGAAAAGGUAUCACAUGCCAAGUUUGGCCUCACGGUAUAAAAGUUAUAGAGUCCUAAAGUUUUAACCAAAAAAAACAAAUUAAAAAAAAAGAGGGAUGCAACACGAGGACUUCCCGGGAGGUCACCCAUCCUAGUACUACUCUCGCCCAAGCACGCUUAACUAAAUGUCAAAAUUUGGAGUCGACAAAAAAUCAAUUGAUAUGUUCCAUUGUCCUGCUACUUUCAUCGGAGGGCUCUCUUUGGGCUUUCCGAAAAUGUAUCACAUGCCAAGUUUGGCCUCACUGUAUAAAAGUUAUACAGUCAUAAAGUUUUAACCAAAGAAAAAUAUUAAAAAAAAAGGGAUGCAACACGAGGACUUCCCUGAGGUCACCAAUCCUAGUACUACUCUCGCCCAAGCACGCUUAACUACGGAGUUUUGAUGGGAUCUGGUGUAUUAGUGCUGGUAUAAUCUCAUCCGUUAGUAUAGGCAAUGCAAUGGUGUAUAUUCUUUUUUGAAGACUUGAUGAACCAUUCGUCGUGGGUCCCACCCGCUGUGUAGGGAUACCCCAUCUAGUCUUAACGAGCUUUGAUCAUGAAAAAAAUUCUAAAACAAUGCUUGAACAAGUAAUUUUGGGUCCGUAAUAUAGCCCAAAUCACAAAAUACCCGAAAAAGUACUUAAAGGUCAAAAUUUGGGAUCGACAAAAAGUCAAUGGAAAAGUUCGUUUGUCCUGCUUCUUUCGUCGGAGGGCUCUUUUUGGGCUUUCCGAAAAGGUAUCACAUGCCAAGUUUGGCCUCACGGUAUAAAAGUUAUAGAAUCAUAAAGUUUUAACCAAAAAAAACAAAUUAAAAAAAAAGAGGGAUGCAACACGAGGACUUCCCGGGAGGUCACCCAUCCUAGUACUACUCUCGCCCAAGCACGCUUAACUAAAGGUUAAAAUUUGGAGUCGACAAAAAAUCAAUGGAUAUGUUCCAUUGUCCUGCUUCUUUCAUCGGAGAGCUCUCUUUGGGCUUUCCGAAAAGGUAUCACAUGCCAAGUUUGGCCUCACUGUAUAAAAGUUAUAGAGUCAUAAAGUUUUAACCAAUGAAAAAAAUUAAAAAAAAAGAGGGAUGCAACACGAGGACUUCCCGGGAGGUCACCCAUCCUAGUACUACUCUCGCCCAAGCCCCCUUAACUGCGGAGUUCUGAUGGGAUCCGGUGUAUUAGUGUUGGUAUGAUCUUAUCUGUUAGUAUAUGCAAUGCAAUCGUAUAUAUUCUUUUUGGAAGAAUUGAUGAACCAUUCGCCGUGGGUCCCACCCGCUGUGUAGGGAUACCCCAACUAGUCUUAACGAGCUUUGAUGCAUGAAAAAAUUCUAAAACAAUGCUUGAACAAGUUAUUUUGGGUCCGUAAUCUAGCCCAAAUCACAAAAAUGCCCGAAAAAGUACUUAAAGGUCAAAAUUUGUGGUCGGCAAAAAGUCAAAGGAAAAGUUCGUUUGUCCUGUUUCUUUCGUCGGAGGGUUCUCUUUGGGAUUUCCGAAAAGGUAUCACAUGCCUAGUUUGGCCUCACGGUAUAAAAGUUAUAGAGUCAUAAAGUUUUAACCAAAAAAAACAAAUUAAAAAAAAAGAGGGAUGCAACACGAGGACUUCCCGGGAGGUCACCCAUCCUAGUACAAUAUUCGCCCAAGCACGCUUAACUGCGGAGUUCUGAUGGGAUCUCGUGUAUUAGUGCUGGUAUGAUCGCAUACGUUAGUAUAUGCAAUGCAAUCGUAUAUAUUCUUUUUUGAAGACUUGAUGAACCAUUCGUCGUGGGUCGCACCCGCUAUGUAGGAUACCCCAUCUAGUCUUAACGAGCUUUGAAGCAUGAAAAAAUUCUAAAACAAUGAUUGAACAAGUAAUUUUGUGUCCGUAAUAUAGCCCAAAUCACAAAUAUGCCCGAAAAAGUACUUAAAGGUCAAAAUUUGGGAUCGACAAAAAGUCAAUAAAAUUGUUCCAUUGUCCUGCUUCUUUCGUCGGAGGGCUCUCUUUACGCUUUCCGAAAAGAUAUCACAUGCCAAGUUUGGCCUCACGGUAUAAAAAUUAUAGAGUCAUAAAGUUUUAACCAAAAAAAACAAUUUAAAAAAAAAGAAGGAUGAAACACGAGGACUUCCCGGGAGGUCACCCAUCCUAGUACUACUCUCGCCCAAGCACGCUUAACUAAAGGUCAAAAUUUAGAGUCGACAAAAAAUCAAUGGAUAUGUUCCAUUGUCCUGCUUCUUUCAUCAGAGGGCUCUCUUUGGGCUUUCCGAAAAGGUAUCACAUGCCAAGUUUGGCCUCACUGUUUAAAAGUUGUAGAGUCAUAAAGUUUUAACCAAUGAAAAAAAUUUUUAAAAAAAGAGGGAUGCAACACGAGGACUUCCCAGGAGGUCACCCAUCCUAAUACUACUCUCGCUCAAGCACACUUAACUGCGGAGUUCUGAUGGGAUCCGGUGUAUUAGUGCUGGUAUGAUCUCAUCUGUUAGUAUAUGCAAUGCAAUCGUAUAUAUUCUUUUUGAAAGAAUUGAUGAACCUUCGCCGUGGGUCCCACCCGCUGUAUAGGGACACCCCAUCUAGUCUUAACGAGCUUUGAUGCAUAAAAAAAUUCUAAAACAAUGCUUUAACAAGUAAUUUUGGGUCCGUAAUAUAGCCCAAAUCACAAAAAUGCGCGAAAAAGUAUUUAAAGGUCAAAAUUUGGGUUCGACAAAAAGUCAAUGGAAAAGUUCGUUUGUCGUGCUUCUUUCGUCGGAAGGCUCUCUUUGGGAUUUCCGAAAAGGUAGCACAUGCCUAGUUUGGCCUCACGGUAUAAAAGUUAUAGAGUUAUAAAGUUUUAACCAAAAAAAACAAAUUAAAAAAAAGAGGGAUGCAACACGAGGACUUCCCGGGAGGUCACCCAUCCUAGUACUACUCUCGCCCAAGCACGCUUAACGAAAGGUCAAAAUUUGGAGUCGACAAAAACUCAAUACAUAUGUUCCAUUGUCCUGCUUCUUUCAUCGGAGGGCUUUCUUUGGGCUUUCCGAAAAGGUAUCACAUGCCUAGUUUGGCCUCUCGGUAUAAAAGUUAUAGAGUCAUAAAGUUUUAACCAAAGAAAAAAAUUAAAAAAAAAGAGAGAUACAACACGAGGACUUCCCGGGAGGUCACCCAUCCUAGUACUACUCUCGCCCAAGCAUGCUUAACUGCGGAUUUCUGAUGGGAUCCGGUGUAUUAGUGCUGGUAUGAUCGCAUCCGUUAGUAUAUGCAAUGCAAUCGUAUAUAUUCUUUUUUGAAGACUUGAUGAACCAUUCGCCGUGGGUCGCACCCGCUAUGUAGGGAUACCCCAUCUAGUCUUAACGAGCUUUGAUGCAUGAUAAAAUUCUAAUACAAUGAUUGAACAAGUAAUUUUGGGUCCGUAAUAUAGCCCAAAUCACAAAUAUGACCGAAAAAGUACUUAAAGGUCAAAAUUUGGGAUCGACAAAAAGUCAAUGAAAUUGUUCCAUUGUCCUGCUUCUUUCGUCGGAGGGCUCUCUUUACGCUUUCCGAAAAGGUAUCACAUGCCAAGUUUGGCCUCACGGUAUAUAAGUUAUAGAGUCAUAAAGUUUUAACCAAAAAAAACAAAUUAAAAAAAAAGAAGGAUGCAACACGAGGACUUCCCGGGAGGUCACCCAUCCUAGUACUACUCUCGCCCAAGCACGCUUAACUAAAGGUCAAAAUUUGGAGUCGACAAAAAAUCAAUGGAUAAGUUCCAUUGUCCUGCUUCUUUCAUCGGAAGGCUCUCUUUGGGCUUUCCGAAAAGGUAUCACAUGCCAAGUUUGGCUUGACGGUAUAAAAGUUAUAUAGUCAUAAAGUUUUAACAAAAAAAAAACAAAUUAAAAAAAAAGAGGGAUGCAACACGAGGACUUCUCGGGAGGUCACCCAUCCUAGUACUACUCUCGCCCAAGCACGCUUAACUAAAGGUCAAAAUUUGGAGUCGACAAAAACUCAAUACAUAUGUUCCAUUGUCCUGCUUCUUUCAUCUGAGGGCUCUCUUUGGCUUUCCGAAAAGGUAUCACAUGCCAAGUUUGGCCUCACUAUAUAAAAGUUAUAGAGUCAUAAAGUUUUAACCAAUGAAACAAAUUAAAAAAAACAGAGAGAUGCAACACGAGGACUUCCCGGGAGGUCACCCAUCCUAGUACUACUCUCGCCCAAGCACGCUUAACUGCGGAGUUCUGAUGGGAUCCAGUGUAUUAGUGUUAGUAUGAUCGCAUCCGUUAGUAUAUGGAAUGCAAUCGUAUAUAUUCUUUUUUGAAGACCUGAUAAACCAUUCGCCGUGGGUCGCACCCGCUAUGUAGGGAUACCCCAUCUAGUCUUAACGAGCUUUGAAGCAUGCAAAAAUUCUAAAACAAUGCUUCAACAAGUAAUUUUGGGUCCGUAAUAUAGCCCAAAUCACAAAUAUGCCCGAAAAAGUACUUAAAGGUCAAAAUUUGGGAUCGACAAAAAGUCAAUGAAAUUGUUCCGUUGUCUUGCUUCUUUUGUCGGAAGGCUCUCUUUACGCUUUCCGAAAAGGUAUCACAUGCCAAGUUUGACCUCACGGUAUAAAAGUUAUAGAGUCAUAAAGUUUUAACCAAAAAAAACAAAUUAAAAAAAAAAGAAGGAUGCAACACGAGGACUUCCCGGGAGGUCACCCAUCCUAAUACUACUCUCGCCCAAGCACGCUUAACUAAAGGUCAAAAUUUGGAGUCGACAAAAAAUCAAUGGAUAAGUUCCAUUGUCCUGCUUCUUUCAUCGGAGGGCUCUCUUUGGGCUUUCCGAAAAGGUAUCAGAUGCCAAGUUUGGCCUGACGGUAUAAAAGUUAUAGAGUCAUAAAUUUUUAACAAAAAAAAAACAAAUUAAUAAAAAAGAGGGAUGCAACACGAGGACUUCCCGGGAGGUCACCCAUCCUAGUACUACUCUAGCCCAAGCACGCUUAACUAAAGGUCAAAAUUUGGAGUCGACAAAAACUCAAUACAUAUGUUCCAUUGUCCUGCUUCUUUCAUCCGAGGGCUCUCUUUGGGCUUUCCGAAAAAGGUAUCACAUGCCAAGUUUGGCCUCACUGUAUAAAAGUUAUAGAGUCAUAAAGUUUUAACCAAAGAAAAAAAUUAAAAAAAAAAGAGGGAUGCAAGACAAGGACUUCCCGGGAGGUCACCCAUCUUAGUACUACUCUCGCCCAAGCACGCUUAACUACGGUGUUCUGAUGGGAUCCGGUGUAUUAGUGCUGGUAUGAUCACAUCCGUUAGUAUAUGCAAUGCAAUCGUAUAUAUUCUUUUUGGAAGAAUUGAUGAACCAUUCGCCAUGGGCCCCAUCCGCUAUGUAGGGAUACCCCAUCUAGUCUUAACGAGCUUUGAUGCAUGAAAAAAUUCUAAAACAAUGCUUGAACAAGUAAUUUUUGGUCCGUAAUAUAGCCCAAAUCACAAAAAUACGCGAAAAGUACUUAAAGGUCAAAAUUUAGGGUCGACAAAAAGUCAAUGGAAAAGUUUGUUUGUCCUGCUUCUUUCGUCGGAGGGCUCUCUUUGGGCUUUCCGAAAAGGUAUCACAUGCCAAGUUUGGCCUCACGGUAUAAAAGUUAUAGAAUCAUAAAGUUUUAACCAAAAAAAACAAAUUAAAAAAAAACAGGGAUGCAACACGAGGAGUUCCCAGGAGGUCACCCAUCCUAGUACUACUCUCGCCCAAGCAUGCUUAACAAAAGGUUAAAAUUUAGAGUCGACAAAAAAUCAAUGGAUAUGUUCCAUUGUCCUGCUUCUUUCAUCGGAGGGCUCUCUUUGGGCUUUCCGAAAAUGUAUCACAUGCCAAGUUUGGCCUCACUGUAUAAAAGUUAUAGAGUCAUAAAGUUUUAACCAAAGAAAAAAAUUAAAAAAAAGAGGGAUGAGACACGAGGACUUCCCGGGAGGUCAUCCAUCUUAGUACUACUCUCGCCCAAGCACGCUUAACUGCGGAGUUCUGAUGGGAUCCGGUGUAUUAGUGCUGGUAUGAUCACAUCC